rnacentral:rRNA from 1 species
GACAGAGGUGCCAAGCGUUAGGCGGAAUCACUGGGCUUAAAGCGUGUGUAGGCGGAAUUCUAAGUACCUUGUGAAAUCCCACAGCUCAACUGUGGAACUGCUUGGUAUACUGGUUUUCUUGAGCCACUUAGGGGCUGUCGGAACAAGCGGUGGAGCGGUGAAAUGCGUAGAUAUCCGGAGGAACACCAGUGGCGAAAGCGGCCACCUGGACUGCACCUGACGCUGACACGCGAAAGCUAGGGGAGCGAACGGG